ensembl:misc_RNA Metazoa_SRP Metazoan signal recognition particle RNA
GCCAGGUGUGGUGGCGCACACCUGUAGUCCCAGCUCCUUGGGAGGCUGAGAUGGGAGAAUCACUUGAACUUGGGAAGCAGAGGUUGCAGUGAGCUGAGAUCGUGCCACUGCACUCCAGUCUGGGUGACACAGUGAGACUCCAUCUCAA